rnacentral:rRNA from 1 species
AGUGAACGCUGGCGGUAGGCCUAACACAUGCAAGUCGAACGGCAGCACAGUAAGAGCUUGCUCUUACGGGUGGCGAGUGGCGGACGGGUGAGGAAUACAUCGGAAUCUACUUUUUCGUGGGGGAUAACGUAGGGAAACUUACGCUAAUACCGCAUACGACCUACGGGUGAAAGCAGGGGAUCUUCGGACCUUGCGCGAUUGAAUGAGCCGAUGUCGGAUUAGCUAGUUGGCGGGGUAAAGGCCCACCAAGGCGACGAUCCGUAGCUGGUCUGAGAGGAUGAUCAGCCACACUGGCACUGAGACACGGUCCAGACUCCUACGGGAGGCAGCAGUGCGGAAUAUUGGACAAUGGGCGCAAGCCUGAUCCAGCCAUACCGCGUGGGUGAAGAAGGCCUUCGGGUUGUAAAGCCCUUUUGUUGGGAAAGAAAAGCAGCAGGUUAAUACCCCGCUGUUCUGACGGUACCCAAAGAAUAAGCACCGGCUAACUUCGUG